GUUAGUACUUUACCUCGUUCCAAUUUUUUAUUUCCUUAAAAGUAUUAUGAAUUUAUUCUUGAUUGUCUACCAUAUGAUUCUUUUUUUCUUCACUCAUCCAGGUGAUAGUUGAAUGAUUCAGAUUGUAUAGAGGCCGUUACACAUGAUCUGAUUUCAGAUGAUUUUGCUAGAGAAGAUACAACGAGGAGAAGUUCUUCAAGAUAAAUUAAAACUCAAAAGGAAAGAUCUCUGGUCAGUUGCUUGGAUAUUGUUGUGACAUUGAAGAUAAUCAUAUACCUCUGGUGUAGCGGCACAGGUACUCAAGGAAUUUGUAGAAGGUGUAGUUGAAUGCUUCAAAUUUUAUAGAGGCAAUUACACAGGGUAUGAUUUCAGAUGAUUUUUCUAGAGCAUAUACAACAAGGAGAGUUGUUCAGGUGUUGCAUUAGGGAGCCUUGAUACAGCGUAAGAUGGAAGGAGCAGAGUUCAGACGAGAACGGAGAAUUCAUCCAGAAGUUUCGUAAAGAAACUUUGAUUCAAU